rnacentral:rRNA from 1 species
AGGGAAUCUUCCACAAUGGACGAAAGUCUGAUGGAGCAACGCCGCGUGAGUGAAGAAGGUUUUCGGAUCGUAAAGCUCUGUUGUUGGUGAAGAAGGAUAGAGGCAGUAACUGGUCUUUAUUUGACGGUAAUCAACCAGAAAGUCACGGCUAACUACGUGCCAGCAGCCGCGGUAAUACGUAGGUGGCAAGCGUUGUCCGGAUUUAUUGGGCGUAAGGCGAGCGCAGGCGGAAUGAUAAGUCUGAUGUGAAAGCCCACGGCUCAACCGUGGAACUGCAUCGGAAACUGUCAUUCUUGAGUGCAGAAGAGGAGAGUGGAACUCCAUGUGUAGCGGUGGAAUGCGUAGAUAUAUGGAAGAACACCAGUGGCGAAGGCGGCUCUCUGGUCUGCAACUGACGCUGAGGCUCGAAAGCAUGGGUAGUGAACAGGAUUAGAUACCCUGGUAGUCCAUGCCGUAAACGAUGAGCGCUAGGUGUUGGGG